UACGUAGGGUGCAAGCGUUAAUCGGAAUCACUGGGCGUAAAGCGUGCGCAGGUGGUUGUGCAAGACAGAUGUGAAAUCCCCGGGCUUAACCUGGGAACUGCAUUUGUGACUGCAUGGCUAGAGUACGGCAGAGGGGGAUGGAAUUCCGCGUGUAGCAGUGAAAUGCGUAGAUAUGCGGAGGAACACCGAUGGCGAAGGCAGUCCCCUGGGCCUGUACUGACACUCAUGCACGAAAGCGUGGGGAGCAAACAGG
rnacentral:rRNA from 1 species